rnacentral:rRNA from 1 species
GACGAACGCUGGCGGCGUGCCUAAUACAUGCAAGUCGAGCGAACUUUCUCUUGUGUUUGUACUAGAAAUACUUAACGGCGAACGGGCGCGUAACACGUCAAGACCCUGCCUCUUAGUAAGGGACAACUAUUGUAACUGAUAGCUAAUACGGGAUUACAGCAUUAACUGCAUGGCUGAUGUUUAACAGUUGUUUUUGCUAACUCUAUGAGAUGGCUUUGCGGUGCAUUAGCUAGUUGGUGGGGUAAUGGCCUACCACGGCGACGAUGCAUAGUCGUCGUGAGAGGGUGAGCGUGCACACUGAGACUGAGACUCGGACCAGACCCCGACGCGAGGCAGCAGUAGGGAUGCUUCGGCAAUGGGCGAAAGCCUGACGGAGCAACGCCGCGUGAGUGAAGAAGGAUUACGGUUCGGAAAGCUCUGUUUUUAGGGAAGAAUGAGUGUGUAGUAACGUGUGGGAGUAGAGACGUUACCGAACUAGAAAGCCACGGCUAACUACGUG